GCAGGAGCAGCUGGGCAGCUGAAUGCAACAGGAGAGCUGUGUGCAGAGCAGGCUGCAGCAGGAGCCAGGGAAUUGCAUGUUCCAGCGGUAAAGUGAGACAUUUCAAUGGAAACAAGUGAUUCUACUGGAGGGUAAAAUCUUUCUUCCCAACUGCAGAAAUAUGGAGACCUUUUUCAAAACAGCCCUAACAGGUGAGACAUGGACACCAUUCACCUCUUCAGGAACCACUGUUGCUGCUUAUAACGUAAAAGACUUGGAGAGACAAAUAGACUGCUUGGGUGAGCUCCACCAUUGUGGCACUCCACCAUCUCCCAGACUUCUUCAUGCUAAUCCUGAAAGAUGUACUGACCAGAUGGGGACCGAUGGGGGUACCAGAUGAUGUUGCCAUGUCCACUGGCUUUGGAUAAAUCCUGAACACCACCUGCCAUGUGAGACUUUUGUCUCUUUCGGUCCCCAGUGUGUCCUUUUCCUUCCCCACCUUAUUCUCUUUCUUCUCUUUCCCCUGUUUGUUGUCUAAUAAGAGCUUGCCAAGACUGCAUAUUUUAGAACUUUGCAGUAAGCCUGUGACCACAGAGACAAAUAAAAUAAUGCCCUCAACAGCUUGAUGCUGUUAAAAGCAUAGGUGGGAAGUGACUUUUUCAUCUUGGGAGGCUUACGUGAGCACCGGAAAUUCCCUAAUGUGGGGGAGGCCACCAGUGCCUAGACUGUAGUUCCACACCCCUGCUCCACCCCACCCUUGCUCUGCCUCUUCCCAUUCCUGCUCUUCCUCUUCCCCCAUGGCCCUGCCUCUUCCCACCCCUGCUCCAUCUCUUGCCCAGAGGCCCCUCCACCCACCGCUUGCUCCUUUCUGCCUCUUAUAUGCGCCGCCCAUAGGUAAGAGUUUGCCAGAGUGGCUGAUAAGACCAUGUGCCAUGAUUCUGUUUUUCCUGCAGUGAGGUUGCACGUGUGAGUCAACCUCAGAGACAGAAGGCUCAUUUUCUACCUCUGCUGUUCUUCUCUUCCCUUUUAUGCGUGUUUGUCUUGCUUUGUCAUCUUAGGAAAUGAAAUCAGACUUUAAUAACAACAGCUCCAGCCCAUUUCAACUCACCUCUUCUCUCCCCCACACCCCGAAAGGAAAGUUAUUACCAUCUUUGAUACCAUCGUAAAGACUGUAAGAGCAGCAAAGAGUCCUGUGGCACCUUGCAGACUAACAGACUUAUUGGAGCUUGAGCUUUCGUGGGUGAAUACCCACUUCGCCGGAUGCAAAGGCUGUUUCAAACUAGAGAAUUUUUUUCUAAUAACUGUCUCCAGCUAAAGAGAAAGGGAACAAGGGGUGGUAUGAAAACCUUACUUAAUGCUUUACAUUUCAAAUGCUUUAACUGUUGUUUCCCUUCUUUUCUGUUUUUUUAAUAAAAGGUUUAAAGGUUUUUUAAUGAUGUGUUAACCAUGAUACUAACAGCCUCUGUAUAUCAAACCUUGUUUAACACUGUUUAAUGUUGGACAAUGCCAGGGUCUUAACAUUUUUCGUCCAUGUAUUCCAUCUAAAUUAACAACAGACCCUGGAAUAAGUUUGAGAGAGAGUUUUCAGGUCUGGUGUUGGCUAAAGAGGCAUGUGGGCUGUAAGCUAAGAAACUGCUCCUUUUGUUCUUGGCUCCUUCUGCAUCCGGAGACACAGGACUUCUUACAUUCCUUGCAAAUAAACAAGAUUGCAUCAAAGAAAAUACUAGACUCCAUCAUCAAUUCCAACUUCCAGCUGAAACAUCUUCAGGGCCCUGAACUUUGAAUAGCUGGUUAGGUCGAAAUGGGGGCAAUGGAGGUCAACAGAAGAGUUGGAAAAGUGCUAUGAGUCACAGCCAUGCUUGAUUAGUGGUUGUAAAAGUGACACCUGCUCUGUGCUUUCCUCUUCAGAACACCACAGAGAAUACAACUGAUAUUAACAAGUGUGUCAAGCAAAAAUGUUUAACCCAGUUUCUCUGCCUUGCUCAAGAGAAUAGGUCUGUCUGUUUAUCAAGAACCUACAGAGAACUCAAAGUGACAAAUGAAGGAAUAUUUUGUGGCAGCAGGUUUUUCAGUUGUUCCUGAGAAAAUUGCUGUGUUUCAAACGGUGAGCAGUCAGUAGUUUUCCAGAUGAGGCCACUCUUGACAAAUGUGUUGGGCACUGCGUGAAAUAUUACAAAU